rnacentral:rRNA from 1 species
GUAGGUGGCAAGCGUUGUCCGGAAUUAUUGGGGCGUAAAGCGCGCGCAGGCGGUUCUUUAAGUCUGAUGUGAAAGCCCACGGGCUCAACCGUGGAGGGUCAUUGGAAACUGGAGAACUUGAGUACAGAAGAGGAAAGCGGAAUUCCACGUGUAGCGGUGAGAUGCGUAGAGAUGUGGAGGAACACCAGUGGCGAAGGCGGCUUUCUGGUCUGUAACUGACGCUGAGGCGCGAAAGCGUGGGGAGCAAACAGGAUUAGAUACCCUGGUAGUCCACGCCGUAAACGAUGAGUGCUAAGUGUUAGGGGGUUUCCGCCCCUUAGUGCUGCAGCUAACGCAUUAAGCACUCCGCCUGGGGAGUACGGCCGCAAAGGCUG